AUACUUACCUGGCAGGGUGGAUUCCGUGACCAGGAAGGUGGUUUUCCCUGGGUGAGGUUUAGCUGCUGCACUCUGGAUGUUCUGGCCCCUGUGAGUUCCCAAAUGUGGGAAACUCCACUGGACAAUGUGUAGUAGUGGGCAACUGUGUUCCCACUAUCCCCUG